rnacentral:lncRNA from 1 species
CAAAACUGAAGAGUCUCUUGUGGAUCUACCUCUCUCUGGAGGCACAGGUGCUAAACGGGGUAUUAAAGGACCAUGAAGAUUUUCUCCAUCUCUUGUUGAUUAACAGAGCCGUGAUGGUAACAGCUCCCCCCAGUCCCAAGCCCUGGAUUCUACCCUGCAUGGUCCUGACGGCUUGUUCCAUCCACACCAAUGAGAUGUUCAGACUGUCAGUUCCUAAGAGCUAGCAAGUGUGCAGGAGCAAUUCACUACCGACCGGCCACAGACACGUGGGCCUGCAUACUGAAGUCUGACAUCCUGUCAUGCUGUGAGGGUCAUGUUGCGGCUGCUCCUGUGACGAAAUUGCUCCUACAAAUGAUGAGGAAGCUUCAGCACAAGCAUACUGUGAUUUUAAAAGAAAAGGCAGUGGGCUCCCAGACAAAGUUAAAAAGGGCACCACAUUUGACUGCACAUCCCAGAGCAGGUUGGCUUAACCAAGGCCUUCCAACCAGGAGGACUGACAGCAAGCAAAAGCCUCCCCGAGGACACGCACAGAGAUGGUGCAGUGGCUGCUCCGGAAAGAUUUCUGUUGACAUUGUUUUGAUCAUGUUUUCAGAUUCUGAAACACUGGCGGCGUUUGUU